rnacentral:rRNA from 1 species
CGCCCUUCAGUGCUGCAGCUAACGCAUUAAGCACUCCGCCUGGGGAGUACGACCGCAAGGUUGAAACUCAAAGGAAUUGACGGGGGCCCGCACAAGCGGUGGAGCAUGUGGUUUAAUUCGAAGCAACGCGAAGAACCUUACCAGGUCUUGACAUCCUUUGACCACUCUAGAGAUAGAGCUUCCCCUUCGGGGGCAAAGUGACAGGUGGUGCAUGGUUGUCGUCAGCUCGUGUCGUGAGAUGUUGGGUUAAGUCCCGCAACGAGCGCAACCCUUAUUGUUAGUUGCCAUCAUUCAGUUGGGCACUCUAGCAAGACUGCCGGUGACAAACCGGAGGAAGGUGGGGAUGACGUCAAAUCAUCAUGCCCCUUAUGACCUGGGCUACACACGUGCUACAAUGGGAAGUACAACGAGUUGCGAAGUCGCGAGGCUAAGCUAAUCUCUUAAAGCUUCUCUCAGUUCGGAUUGCAGGCUGCAACUCGCCUGCAUGAAGC